rfam:Gossypium arboreum cultivar AKA8401 contig_66705_1, whole genome shotgun sequence.
AUACAUGCAGAAGACAUUUCCCAAGAAAUUUUUUGAAUCUUUCCCAUAUUUCAUAUAGUGUUUCAUCCUCUAGUUGCUUGAAGGAUGUUAUGUCAUUUCUCAGUUU